CUGCGUAGUAGCAACAGUUCUCAACUCCCCGAUCAGCGCUCCCCUCCCAUUAACGCAUACAGCAUACCUCUCUAUCUAACCCGCCGUGCCUUAUCCUUCAUCUGAGGCACACGCUCACGUCAAAAUGGGCCGCGAUGAGAAACAUGUUCGCGUGCUGUCGAAGCAGGAGCUGCUCGCCACGCACAUCAAGGAGCUCAACGAGAGCUACUCGGUGAAACCGCAUCUUGAGUACACGACGAUUCGCGCCGUCAACGGUCCCCUCGUCAUCCUUGAGGAUGUGCGCAAGCCGACCUUCGCCGAGAUCGUCAAAAUCGAGCUGGCCGACGGCACCGUCCGUCGUGGCCAGGUGCUCGAGGUGGAUGGCACCAAGGCCGUCGUGCAGGUCUUCGAGGGCACGUCCGGUAUCGAUGUCGUGCGCUCCAAGUGCGAGUUUACCGGCAAGGUUAUGGAACUCGGCGUAAGCGAGGACAUGCUGGGCCGCAUCUUCAACGGUUCCGGCAUCCCCAUCGAUAACGGCCCGCCGGUGCUGCCGGAGCAGUUCCGCAAUAUCGAGGGGAUUCCAAUCAACCCGCGCGCGCGUGUCUACCCAGAGGAGAUGAUCCAGACGGGUAUCUCGUCCAUCGACGUCAUGACCUCCAUCUCGCGCGGCCAGAAGAUUCCGCUCUUCUCCGGCGCUGGCCUGCCGCACAAUGAAAUUGCCGCGCAGAUUGUGCGUCAGGCCGGUCUCGUGAAGCGCGAGGGCAAGACGGAGGACUUCUGUGUUGUCUUCGCCGCCAUGGGUGUGAACCAGGAGACGGCCCGCUUUUUCCGCACAGAGUUCGAGCAGAACGGCUCAAUGGAGAAAACCGUCCUCUUCCUGAACCUGGCGAACGACCCGACCAUUGAGCGGAUUGUGACGCCGCGUCUGGCCCUCACCACUGCUGAGUACCUCGCCUACGACUGCGGUAAGCACGUGCUCGUCAUUCUGACCGACAUGUCCUCGUACGCCGAUGCCCUGCGUGAGGUGUCCGCCGCCCGUGAGGAGGUGCCCGGCCGCCGAGGUUUCCCUGGCUACAUGUACACGAAUCUGGCGUGCAUCUACGAGCGUGCAGGCCGUGUGCUGGGCCGCGCCGGCUCUAUCACCCAGAUCCCGAUUCUGUCCAUGCCGAACGAUGAUAUCACCCACCCCAUUCCAGAUCUCACCGGCUACAUUACGGAAGGCCAGAUCUACGUGGACCGCCAGCUGCACAAUCGGCAGCUGUACCCGCCGAUCAAUAUUCUGCCGUCGCUGUCACGUCUGAUGAAGAACGCCAUUGGCGAGGGCAUGACCCGCAAGGAUCACAGCGGCGUGAGCAACCAAAUGUACGCCGCCUACGCCAUCAGUCGUGAUAUUCUCGCCAUGAAGGCCGUCGUUGGCGAGGAGGCGUUGAGUAGCGAGGAUCUGCUGUACCUCGAAUUUCUCGACAAGUUCGAGCACAAAUUCAUCUGUCAGGGCUUCUACGAGACACGCGAUAUCUUCCAAAGCCUUGACCUGUGCUGGGAACUGCUGCGCACGUUCCCCAAGAGCAUGCUGAACAAGAUCGACAUGAAGACUCGCGAUGAGUUCUAUGACCGCCACCCGGGCCGCAAGUAAUCGACGGGAUGCCAUAGAUGAGCCAAGGAGCGAGAUAGCGCCAGGGAAGGGUAUGGAGGCGGGCUGCAUUGGCCGGUCGGCAACCGUUAGCCGUCAUGCAUGUCCUCUGCUGUGUCUUUGCUCGUCACGGUGAGCUCUAGGAGUUGAUUGCGCAGACUCGCACACCCUCCUCCCUCUUACCGUGCAGCGUCCCGCUGUGCGUGUGCGCGCUGUCGCUCGCCCCCUCUUGCUAGGCCGCCGGCUGCUUGAUCAUUCCACGGCCUUUGUCCAUGGCUGUUCCGGCGUGCUUCCAUCGUCACGCGCUGGCGCCUUUGUGCCGCUCGUGUGUCGGGCCCGCUAUGUGUGUGUGUGUGUGCCCUCGCGCGGAAGCGGAAAGGAAAGGAGGCGAGCGGUGGGAAAGGGCAUGGAGGAGACCGGUGCGUGUGCUUGCAGCGCCUAGCCUCGCUGAUGGGUGGUGCUGUCCGUGCCGUUGCGAAGUUUUUGUGUUACUUCGCGUAUGCUUCGCGGUGCCUCGCUCGUUCUCUCGCCUUUCUGGUGUAUGUUCUUUGCUUCCCCUAUCGACAUGAGUGGUGUACAGAAACCGCACGCUGCCAGCGCUGAUGCGCCGGCGCACCGGGCACCCCGGUGAGGUGCCGUCUGCCUCGUUGCUUGUGUGCUUUAUCCUUCAUUAUCGUGCGCCAUUGGCCACUUGAUGCUCUUCGAGCUUGUUGAAGAGCGAGCGAAACGAAAGACGUGCGUGUGCUGAGGGGAUGCGUGUGAUCGAGGAGGAGGCAUGCAGGGGCGCAUCAAAACAUGGGAGGACGUUGUGGGGGUGUGGGUGACGUGGGGUGUUGUAGCGGUAAGGCCUGCAGGCACUUCUCCUCCUUCCGAAAACACACACACACACAUACACACUUACGCACACGCACGGAGAGUUGGGGGAGGGGGUGAGGAAAGGACCCAACGAUCGAGUCGUCGUGGAAACGCAGCGAAGAGGAGGUCGUUGCUCUUUGCACUCCACUCCUGAACUCUCUCGUAGUGUCUGCCUGCCUCUUUCUGCGCCCAUGUAUGUGUGUGUGUGUGUCGGUGUCUGUGUGUGGGCCUCCCUUGCUGCGUGAUUGCCCUGCCCUUACCACCUCAUCGCCGGCGCCGCGGCGUUCGCCCCUUCGCUCUUCUCUCUGUGUGCAGGGUGUUUAAUGUUGGUGCCGUGCGCGGUCGUAUGGCGACUCUGCGUGUUGUCCUCUAUGAUGCAACGAAUCGCUAUGCAUACGCACACAUUUAGAUAAAGACCGUAUGUAGCGUUGUAGGAGUCAUGCCGCUCUUCGACAGCACGCAUUUGCCUCUGCCGGUGUCUCGGGGUGCGCGUAUGGGGGGCAUGCGUGUUUGCAUGGCGAGUUGUCUGAUCUAUAUAAGGGAAGGGCGAGCGGAAACUGUGGUGAGUGCCCCUGGAAAAGAUGAACAUCGAAAAAAAAAACGGGAAGGCAACGAGAUGAUCACGAGCGGUCGCUACUAGAGCGCGUAUGCACAGAGAGUUUGUGUAUGUGGGGGUAGGGCGCAUCCGUGUUUGGCACUCCCCCACCCUUCUCCCUCUCUCUCCGUCGCGCCACGACACGCAUGUGCGUGGGCACGUGCACUUACCGGCGUGUAUUGAGUAUGGAGUGCGAGACUUUCUUUAAUGAUGCCGAAGCCAGACACGCGCGCUGUCCCCUCUCCCCUCUCUUCGCUCACCCCCACUCAGGAGAGGGCACACGUGCUGCCUGGUGCGGGUAGGCUGGGCAAAGGCGUAAAGUGGAUGUGUGCGCGCGCGACAGGAGAGGAGGCUUGGCAGGGAGGCAGGAGUGUGCAACGGCGCUGAGCAAGCGGUGCGGACAAGUUGCUCACUACCCGCGUAUGCGACGAGCGCCGCACAGGUGUGCAGCGUGUGAUCACUCUGGCGCGGCGCUCGGGGGGGGCCAACGGGAAUCAGCUCUGUCGCCAUCCUUGACCGAACACGAGGGCGUCGGACGCGCGUCUCUCCUUCUCCAGUCCCGCUCACGAUCUCCCUGCCCCUUCCUUCUCUCGCCGCUCUUCACUGCCAUCUGCCCGUUCUUCCCGCGCCCUCGUGCAACAACACUCACAACAACGCCACCGCCUCCACCCACACAACUCCAUGCAGUAGUACGGCCGCAGGUGCGUUGAGUCGCUCCCCACCACGUGGAGGCAGUGGGUCAUCGACCCUUCUAUGCUCCCAUCCCAUCUCCUUCCUCAUCCUUGCGUGCUCUCUCUCUCUCCCCUCGCCUUGGCGUCUAUCGUGCGAGCCAAAAUACUCGGAAG
rnacentral:misc_RNA from 1 species